rnacentral:rRNA from 1 species
UACGGGGGGGGCAAGCGUUGUUCGGAAUUACAGGGCGUAAAGGGCUGGUAGGCGGCCAACUAAGUCGGAUGUGAAAUCCCCAGGCUUAACCUGGGAACUGCAUCCGAUACUGGUCGGCUUGAAUCCGGGAGAGGGAUGCAGAAUUCCAGGUGUAGCGGUGAAAUGCGUAGAUAUCUGGAGGAAUACCGGUGGCGAAGGCGGCAUCCUGGACCGGCAUUGACGCUGAACAGCGAAAGCUAGGGGAGCAAACGGG